GACGAACGCUGGCGGCGUGCUUAACACAUGCAAGUCGAACGGAAAGGCCCUGCUUUUGUGGGGUGCUCGAGUGGCGAACGGGUGAGUAUCACGUGAGUAACCUGCCCUUGACUUUGGGAUAACUUCAGGAAACUGGGGCUAAUACCGGAUAGGAGCUCCUGCUGCAUGGUGGGUGUUGUAAAGUUUCGGCGGUUGGGGAUGGACUCGCGGCUUAUCAGCUUGUUGGUGGGGUAGUGGCUUACAAAGGCUUUGACGGGUAGCCGGCCUGAGAGGGUGACCGGCCACAUUGGGACUGAGAUAGGGCCAAGACUGCAACGGGAGGCAGCAGUGGGGAACAUUGCACAAUGGGCGGAAGCAUGAUGCAGCAACGCCGCGUGCGGGAUGACGGCCUUCGGGUUGUAAACCGCUUUCGCCUGUGACGAAGCGUGAGUGACGGUAAUGGGUAAAGAAGCACCGGCUAACUACGUG
rnacentral:rRNA from 1 species